GUUGGUCAGUCUUCUUGAGGCAGUGGAGCAUUUCCCAAGUGUGGGCGGGGCUAGCAGUGUCACUCUGAAGCAAAGAAGGACUUUCCAAGGGCAGUGGGACUGGCAGGUCUGUACCGUGAUGGAGACAGACUUCCUGUGACUGAGCAGAGCUUGCUCUGGCAUUUAUGGGCUGUGGAGCUCUCCCAGGGGGUGGGCGGUUCUGGGCAGCUGCUCCUUAGGAAUGCAGCACCUCCUGAGGGUGGUAGCAGCUAGCUGGGCUGCUGGGAGACAAAGAAGUGCUUCCCCAGGGCAGCUGGAACAGUGUAAGAACAUUCCAAUUCUGAAGACUCCCAACAACAUGAAGCUAACUUCCCUUUCAGUAAUCACCUAAAUAAACUAUGUGACCAAACUUUGUGAACAAGAUGACAUCUAGAGGAAUCAAUGCCGUAUCCUUAACCAACUGUGCUGGGGCCGAAGGUGGGACCUGCAUCCCCUUGCUGCAGAGACACCACCUAUCCCAUGGUGCCACAGUGGGAAUUCUGAACAGGUGAUUUGAUUUCUAUUGGAUAUGUGCCUAGGAGUGAUAUUGUUGGGUUGUAUGGUAACUCUAUGUUUAACAUUUUGAGGAAUCAUCAAAUUAUUUUCCAAACAGACUGCAUAAUUUUACAUUCUCACCAUCAAUGUAUGAAGGUUUUGGUUUUUCCAAAUAUUUGCCAAACCUGCUAUACCCUGGCUUUUAAAAUUUUAGCCAUCCUAGUGGAUGUAAAAUAUUGUUUUAUGGUUUUGAUUUGCAUUUUCCUGACAGCUAAUGAUUUUGAGCUUAUUUGUAUGUGUUUAUUGGACAUUUGUGCAUCUUCUUUGGUGAAAUGUCUAUUCAAAUCCUUUGCUCAUUUUUAAAUUGGAUCAUAUACUAUUUUAUUAUUUAGGUAUAUAUUUUUUUUUAAUUCUGGCUGUAAGCCACUUACCAGAUAUCAGAUUUGCAAUGAUUUUAUCCUAGUCGGUGGGUUGUAUUUUCACUUUUUUGAUAGUGUCCUUUAUAACACCAAUGUUUUUAAUUUUGGUGAAGUAUAAUUUAUCUUUUUUUAUUUUGCCACUGUGCUUUUAGUGUCAUUUCUAAGAAGGCAUUAUCUACCAGAGUUCAUGCAAAUUAACUCCUAUAUUUUGAUCUAAGAGGGUUAUAAUGUCAUCUCUUACAUUUAAGUCUGUGAUCCAUUUCUUUUUCUUUUUCUUUUUUUUCCUUAGAUCUGUACCCGCAGCAUAU